UGGGCAUGGGGGGUGCUACACAUGCAGUCGAACGGGAUCCAUCAGGCUUUGCUUGGUGGUGAGAGUGGCGAACGGGUGAGUAAUGCGUGACCGACCUGCCCCAUACACCGGAAUAGCUCCUGGAAACGGGUGGUAAUGCCGGAUGCUCCGACUCCUCGCAUGGGGUGUCGGGAAAGAUUUCAUCGGUAUGGGAUGGGGUCGCGUCCUAUCAGGUAGUCGGCGGGGUAACGGCCCACCGAGCCUACGACGGGUAGCCGGCCUGAGAGGGCGACCGGCCACAUUGGGACUGAGAUACGGCCCAGACUCCUACGGGAGGCAGCAGUGGGGAAUAUUGCACAAUGGGCGCAAGCCUGAUGCAGCGACGCCGCGUGCGGGAUGACGGCCUUCGGGUUGUAAACCGCUUUUGAUCGGGAGCAAGCCUUCGGGUGAGUGUACCUUUCGAAUAAGCACCGGCUAACUACGUGCCAGCAGCCGCGGUAAUACGUAGGGUGCAAGCGUUAUCCGGAAUUAUUGGGCGUAAAGGGCUCGUAGGCGGUUCGUCGCGUCCGGUGUGAAAGUCCAUCGCUUAACGGUGGAUCUGCGCCGGGUACGGGCGGGCUGGAGUGCGGUAGGGGAGACUGGAAUUCCCGGUGUAACGGUGGAAUGUGUAGAUAUCGGGAAGAACACCAAUGGCGAAGGCAGGUCUCUGGGCCGUUACUGACGCUGAGGAGCGAAAGCGUGGGGAGCGAACAGGAUUAGAUACCCUGGUAGUCCACGCCGUAAACGGUGGAUGCUGGAUGUGGGGCCCGUUCCACGGGUUCCGUGUCGGAGCUAACGCGUUAAGCAUCCCGCCUGGGGAGUACGGCCGCAAGGCUAAAACUCAAAGAAAUUGACGGGGGCCCGCACAAGCGGCGGAGCAUGCGGAUUAAUUCGAUGCAACGCGAAGAACCUUACCUGGGCUUGACAUGUUCCCGACAGCCGUAGAGAUAUGGCCUCCCUUCGGGGCGGGUUCACAGGUGGUGCAUGGUCGUCGUCAGCUCGUGUCGUGAGAUGUUGGGUUAAGUCCCGCAACGAGCGCAACCCUCGCCCUGUGUUGCCAGCACGUCAUGGUGGGAACUCACGGGGGACCGCCGGGGUCAACUCGGAGGAAGGUGGGGAUGACGUCAGAUCAUCAUGCCCCUUACGUCCAGGGCUUCACGCAUGCUACAAUGGCCGGUACAACGGGAUGCGACACGGCGACGUGGAGCGGAUCCCUGAAAACCGGUCUCAGUUCGGAUUGGAGUCUGCAACCCGACUCCAUGAAGGCGGAGUCGCUAGUAAUCGCGGAUCAGCAACGCCGCGGUGAAUGCGUUCCCGGGCCUUGUACACACCGCCCGUCAAGUCAUGAAAGUGGGUAGCACCCGAAGCCGGUGGCCUAACCCUUUGUGGAUGGAGCCGUCUAAGGUAAGACCUCUAAU
rnacentral:rRNA from 1 species